GGGGGUAUAGCUCAGUGGAAGAGCAUCCGACUGCAGAUCGAGAGCUCAGCGGUUCAAACCCGGUUGCCCCAU
rfam:Nematostella vectensis strain CH2 x CH6 NEMVEscaffold_18_Cont3431, whole genome shotgun sequence.